GACGAACGCUGGCGGCGUGCUUAACACAUGCAAGUCGAGCGGAGCGGCGAACGGGUGAGUAACGCGUGAGUAACUGCCCCCCUCUCUGGGAUAACAGUUGGCAACGGCUGCUAAUACCGGAUAGUGGGGGAUGACUCGGGUCCUAUCAGCUUGUUGGUGGGGUAGUGGCCUACCAAGGCGACGACGGGUAGCCGGCCUGAGAGGGCGACCGGCCACAUUGGGCUGAGGUACGGCCCAAACUACUAGGGGGGGUAGCAGUGGGGAGUAUUGCACAAUGGGGGAAACCGUGAUGCAGCAGCGCCGCGUGCGGGAGGACGGUCUUCGGGUUGGAAACCGCUUUAAGCCAUGACGCGGUAGUGGCAGAAGAAGCACCGGCUAACUACGUGCCAGCAGCCGCGGUAAUAC
rnacentral:rRNA from 1 species